rnacentral:rRNA from 1 species
UACGUAGGGUGCGAGCGUUGUCCGGAAUUAUUGGGCGUAAAGAGCGUGUAGGCGGCCAUACAGGUCCGUUGUGAAAACUCGAGGCUCAACCUCGAGACGCCGGUGGAAACUGCAAAGCUAGAGUCCGGAAGAGGAGAGUGGAAUUCCUGGUGUAGCGGUGAAAUGCGCAGAUAUCAGGAAGAACACCCGUGGCGAAGGCGGUUCUCUGGGACGGUACUGACGCUGAGGAGCGAAAGCGUGGGGAGCAAACAGG